AAACCAGCACCUCAAGUGGUCAGGAUGAUUAUUGGGCCUAAAGCAUCCGUAGCCGGCUCUGUAAGUUUUCGGUUAAAUCUGUACGCUCAACGUACAGGCUGCCGGGAAUACUGCAGAGCUAGGGAGUGGGAGAGGUAGACGGUACUCGGGAGGAAGUGGUAAAAUGCUUUGAUCUCUCGAUGACCACCUGUGGCGAAGGCGGUCUACCAGAACACGUCCGACGGUGAGGGAUGAAAGCUGGGGGAGCAAACCGGAUUAGAAACCCCGGUAGUCC
rnacentral:rRNA from 1 species